CAGUAGGGAGGAAGGUAGUGUAGUUAACACCUGCAUUAUUUGACGUUACCUACAGAAGAAGCACCGGCUAACUCCGUGCCAGCAGCCGCGGUAAUACGGAGGGUGCGAGCGUUAAUCGGAAUUACUGGGCGUAAAGCGCAUGCAGGCGGCCUGUUAAGUCAGAUGUGAAAGCCCGGGGCGUUAACCUCGGAAUUGCAUUUGUAAACUAGGCAGGCUAGAGUCUUGUAGAGGGGGGUAGGAAGUUUCAGGUGUAGCGGUGAAAUGCGUAGAGAUCUGAAGGAAUACCAGUGGCGAAGGCGGCCCCCUCGGACAAAGACUGACGCUCAGAUGCGAAAGCGUGGGGAGCAAACAGGAUUAGAUACCCUGGUAG
rnacentral:rRNA from 1 species